AUUUGGUAGCAAUAUUGUUUUAUAGUACUAGUUGAAUUCCAGUUGAUAUAGAAACGGAUUAGUUUUAUUUUUCUAAAUUUUGUAAUUAGAUCAGGAAUCCACUACAAAAAAAAGUGUUUAUCGGGCUCAAAAUUGGUAGGUAAAGGGCAAAUUAAAAGUGCUCGGAAAAAUGAGAAAUAAAGAGUUGAUCAAAUUCUGAACCUACGCAUAUCCUAACUUUUGCACCAUGUUUUAGAAUUCGGAUGUGGUUUAAUUUCUUAUUGGUAAUUCAAUGAAUAUUAGGUUGUUGCUAAAUUGUUUUUCUUUAUUGUGAUGAUAUGUUGAAAGAGUAAUCUUGUUAUCUAUAUAUAGUUUGUUUAAUGAUUUAAUCUGAACCAUUUCUUUUUAUGUGCGCAUGUGAAUUUUUCAAGUGCUUUCUUUUUAAUUACCCCAGGUUAAUUUACUUAUUAUUUAUUUAUAUUUUUGCAAAAAUUAACAUUUUUUUCUUUUCUGCUUUAUUAUUUUUUGAACAUGUUUUUUGUGCUAAUGAAAAUGGUCGUUUCAUUUGUUAGGGAGGUGUUCGACUGGUUGGGAAGGACGUCGACAUAAAAAAUUACCAAGUGAAUAUAUCAGCAGAUAUUAGUAAUAACAGAUUCAGGAUUUCUAUCUUUUUUAAGACCAAUAAUUGAGAUUAGUUCGAGGGACAACUUCAACCACAAAAGGUCCGUGGCGGCCAGCUUGGUCCAGGGAGUUUACACCCUAGAACACGACCGGCGACACGAACGCAAAGGCACCGAAGCCCUGGCCCCUCUGUGGUGGCGAUUUUUCAACUUCAAACUAGUUCGAACUCUCAUAGACACCAACGACUUCUCAAUUUUCGGCGCUGUCUUCGAGUUUAUAUACUACGAGCACCCCCAAACUGCCGGGACGCCGCAAUACGUGAUUGCGUUCCGCGGCACGCUCCUAACGCCCGAAAACUAGGAAGAGGACAUCAAGCUGAACUUCAAGCUCUUC